GGACGGUGGCUCAGUGGUAGAACAUCUGGCUUGUAAGCACAAGGUCCCAAGUUCAAUCCCUGGAAUCUCCA